rnacentral:rRNA from 1 species
UGAGGAAUAUUGCGCAAUGGGGGAAACCCUGACGCAGCAACGCCGCGUGAGUGAGGAAGGUUUUCGGACCGUAAAGCUCUGUCGAGCGGGAAGAAAUGCAUAGUGGCUAAUAUCCAUUAUGCUUGACGGUACCGCCAACGGAAGCACCGGCUAACUCCGUGCCAGCAGCCGCGGUAAUACGGGGGGUGCUAGCGUUGUUCGGAAUCAUUGGGCGUAAAGAGCGUGUAGGCGGCUGGAUAAGUCAGAUGUGAAAGCCCUGGGCUUAACAUAGGAAGUGCAUUUGAAACUGUUCAGCUGGAGUAAGGGAGAGGAAAGUGGAAUUCCUGGUGUAGAGGUGAAAUUCGUAGAUAUCAGGAGGAACACCGGUGGCGAAGGCGACUUUCUGGCCCUAUACUGACGCUGAGACGCGAGAGCGUGGGUAGCAAACA